UAGGGAAUCUUCGGCAAUGGACGGAAGUCUGACCGAGCAACGCCGCGUGAGUGAAGAAGGUUUUCGGAUCGUAAAGCUCUGUUGUAAGAGAAGAACGAGUGUGAGAGUGGAAAGUUCACACUGUGACGGUAUCUUACCAGAAAGGGACGGCUAACUACGUGCCAGCAGCCGCGGUAAUACGUAGGUCCCGAGCGUUGUCCGGAUUUAUUGGGCGUAAAGCGAGCGCAGGCGGUUAGAUAAGUCUGAAGUUAAAGGCUGUGGCUUAACCAUAGUAGGCUUUGGAAACUGUUUAACUUGAGUGCAAGAGGGGAGAGUGGAAUUCCAUGUGUAGCGGUGAAAUGCGUAGAUAUAUGGAGGAACACCGGUGGCGAAAGCGGCUCUCUGGCCUGUAACUGACGCUGAGGCUCGAAAGCGUGGGGAGCAAACAGGAUUAGAUACCCUGGUAGUCCACGCUGUAAACGAUGAGUGCUAGGUGUUAGACCCUUUCCGGGGUUUAGUGCCGUAGCUAACGCAUUAAGCACUCCGCCUGGGGAGUACGACCGCAAGGUUG
rnacentral:rRNA from 1 species